rnacentral:tRNA from 1 species
GGGAGUAUAACUCAUGGGUAGAGUGUGUGCUUAGCAUGCAUGAGGUCCUGGGCUCAAUCCCCAGUCCCUCCA